CAACUUUCAACAACGGAUCUCUUGGCUCUCGCAUCGAUGAAGAACGCAGCGAAAUGCGAUAAGUAAUGUGAAUUGCAGAAUUCAGUGAAUCAUCGAAUCUUUGAACGCACCUUGCGCUCCUUGGUAUUCCUUGGAGCAUGCCUGUUUGAGUAUCAUGA
rnacentral:rRNA from 1 species